rnacentral:rRNA from 1 species
UGUAAAAUCUUAGUGGCGGACGGGUGAGUAACGCGUGGGUAACCUGCCUUACACCGGGGGAUAACACUUAGAAAUAGGUGCUAAUACCGCAUAAGCGCACGAAGCCGCAUGGAUUUGUGUGAAAAACUCCGGUGGUGUAAGAUGGACCCGCGUCUGAUUAGCUUGUUGGCGGGGUAACGGCCCACCAAGGCGACGAUCAGUAGCCGGCCUGAGAGGGUGGACGGCCACAUUGGGACUGAGACACGGCCCAAACUCCUACGGGAGGCAGCAG